ACCAGGAACUCGCUCUUGAGCGCGCGGCGCGGCCCGCCGCCCUCCUCGGCGCCCGCCGCCAGCUGCUCGGGGCUGCUGGGACCCAGCUGCGCGUAGUGCUCGAUGAAGUCGCCCAGCGAGUCGCGGAACUCGGCGGCCACCGCCAUCGACAGCGUGAGGCGGCUCUUGGAGCCGCCCGCGCCCACCUCGGCGAUCUUGAGGAAGCGGCCCUUGGCGUUCUGCUUCACGUCCAGGAGGAGGGGUUCUUGCCUGUUUGUGUGUCGGUGCAUUGCAUGCCCACUGAGGGUGUGAUGGCUAAAGAAACUCCAUUCUGUGUUGGGAGUUCAUCUUGGUACCAAAUAACCAUUUGUCCUCUGACUCAAGUUCCUGGAAGACAUUCAAGGACUGUUCUGAAGUUACCUUGACCAUCCAUCUAAUCCGGGUAGAGCAGAACAGUCCCCGUGGGUUUUACCUUUAAAUGUCCUUCCUGCUCCCUCAUCUGACUCUGAUUGAGUGCAGCCUUGCCAGAAGUUCUAAUAAAUUCUGCUAAUUAUAAUCAGAA
rnacentral:lncRNA from 1 species